CUAAGAUUCCUUUAGUAGCGGCGAGCGAAACAGGAAAAGCCCAGCACUAAGCCCUCCAGUCGUCCUGGCUGGUAGGGGAUGCAGUGUAUGGGAAGUCUAUUAUCUUAUAUGACGGUAGCACGUUCAAGUCCAUCUUGAAUGGGGCCAUUUAACCCAUAGAGGGUGCCAGGCCCGUAGCAACUGUUACCAGUAUAAGAAGAUUUUUCCGAAGAGUCGUGUUGCUUGAUAGUGCAGCACUAAGUUGGUGGUAAACUCCAUCUAAGGCUAAAUAUAACC
rnacentral:rRNA from 1 species